UGAAAAAUACUUCAUCGCUGCAAUAUGAUGGUAAGAUAUGUUCUGAUUUCCUCUAACGAAACUUCAUAAUUCAAACAUGGUUUUAUUUUUGCAGCAUUGUAGAGUUCUUUUGAGCGUAUGGGAUUCCAAAUUAUAUUCUGAUUUUUCAUUCACAAUGCUUUAUUCAUUCUCAUUAUCUUGACCUUCAUGGUAAUAAUUGCCACCUAAAUCUAGCAAAUAAUCACUGGUUAUGCAUGGUCCAGUAUUUGUGCAUCACCAGUUGCAAAGGGUUCAGUAUAUGAAUUCGUUGAAGUUUGUUGCUAUAUUCAUAUGUACAUUUCAUUCAAAUGUACAUGAUUUCAUUUUUGUUGGUGGUGUAGACUCAUUGGAUAUUCCAUUUUUGUCAAUUUGAUUGUGGGAAUGACCCAAAAUUUUCCAAAUGAGUAGUGGGUGCUCAAAUCUUCAUCUUCUGGCUGCUUUAAAAUGAUUUGGCAUAUGCAAGUAAUGUUCCCUUCUUAUUGAGUAACGCGGGGAAAAAUCUUCAUGAAAUACUGUAGAGAACUAAGCCAUUACCAAUCUAGGUGCAAUCAACUUUGUGACCAUGUUUAUUACUCUCACUUACAAUUUUGUUGUCUUUUACUUAUGGUCUGGCAAGGGAUCUUUUACGUACCAUCUCAUGGUAGUAUUUUUUUCUUCUAGUUGUAUAAUUCAUCUACGCUGAGAAUACAUGCAAAAAAAAGUGGGUUGUGUUCUUACCCCGUUCUGCUACUUGAUGCAUCUGUCUUUUUUCCUCCCAUGUCAUGACUUCAUCUGAUCAAUCUUUUUGUUGGUAAUAGUAUAUCUAUUCCUUUUUUUAUUCUUUUUGUUGAUCUAUUCGUAAAAAAUAUAUUUGUUGCCAUUUUCUAUAACUAUGAGCUUCCUUAUUGACAUCUAUUGUUACUAAUCCAGCAGGGCUCCUGAUUCCACGGCGUGCCUUACUCUUUUGGCGGGCAUAUUUAAAGUUGAGGGAUCUUUUAUUCCAUUUCAAUUUGCUCUGGAAAUCUCCUGCCGGCUCAACUGCUCAUCUCAAAGAAUAUAGUUGUAUUUUCCUUGGAUUAUUCAUUUGACUUGCAAUGUUGAUGGAGAAAAGGCAACCGAAUUAUUCGAGGGAUAGAGAUUGUUAAUGAAUAGAUCAACUAACUAUUUGCCAUGGAAAUUGCUAUUUGGAGACCUGGUGCAUUUGGAAAGUAUGUAACGACCAAGUCUCUGAUAAUGUACUUCCAAACUUUGGUUGGUGCAGGAUUCCCAUUGUUAGUAGUAGCACAUACACAUAGAACUGUACUGGAGAGUGGAAAGUAAAUUUCUCUUUCACCUUUAACUCAUAACAUUAUUACAUGUGACUGAAAGAGUAAUCUGUUCAUUAAAAUUAUAAUUUUACAUGAUCG
rnacentral:lncRNA from 1 species